CAAAGGACUACUUUGCAUUAUCCCAACCAUGAGUUCUCAUGUGACAUGAGUAUGAGAACUCUUCGUCGAUCGCGUUCAGUGAACUCAUUCUCUACUGAGCACCUACGUACUUGUCUUGAUGUCACACACACCAAUGACUCGAGACUAGUCACUCUCCCUGAGAGAAGACAUAGCACGUACCGAUCUUGACGGACUGUCAAUGCCCAAUUGGCAAUCCUAUGAUCAGGAACAUUUAGGAUGUGUCAACGAAAGAAUGGUCUCAUAAAUCUAACUUCAUUAGAUUGCAUUCUCCCAAUCACAUAUUCCUUGGACUUUAUCGUUUAAGCAUAUAACAUUUAUAUGAGACGGCUCAAACAAUAAUCUUUGCCCUUUAUAUUAAACUAUAUUAGUUUAACAUGUGAAAUGUCCGUAAAGUAUCAUCACAUGAUUGGUUUUAGGGCACAUUUCCAACAAUCUCCCACUUGCACUAGAGCCAAUCAGCUUGGUCAUCAGUGAUGAUACCUCUUCUGUAGUCAUUUCAUAAAUGGCUGAGUAGUAGGCCGAGACAAUGGAUAUCUAUAUGUUAUCCAUAGAAGCAACCUUGAGAAUAACGACGU
rnacentral:lncRNA from 1 species